GUACUCACUUCGGUAGCACAUUUACUAAAAGUGGAACAAUACAGAGAAGAUUAGCAUGGCUCUUGCACAAGGAUGACAUUGCAAAUUCAUGAAGUGUUCCAUAUUUAA
ensembl:snRNA U6 U6 spliceosomal RNA